AAACCAGUCGAUGAAGCUCAGUGAGCGGACCUACUCGAGGGUUACAGUGGCUGUGGGCCAACAAGGACCUGCCUUUCAUCGCUGUGACAAUGAACAGUGCUACCGUUUCCGAGACUUUGUUGAAAACUCAGAGGCGCGAUUUAAAGCGCUAUGACGGGAAGCGGUGCUCAAGUGCAGUCCCAGUUUGCACAACAGGACAGAAGUCAGCCAAAAGCCAGCUUGGAGAAAUGUGCAGACGGUGGCCUAAUAAGAUCUGCUAACUGGAA